rnacentral:rRNA from 1 species
CCGGCACGGGUGAGUAACACGUAUCCAACCUGCCGUCUACUCUUGGACAGCCUUCUGAAAGGAAGAUUAAUACAAGAUGGCAUCAUGAGUCCACAUGUUCACAUGAUUAAAGGUAUUCCGGUAGACGAUGGGGAUGCGUUCCAUUAGGCAGUUGGUGGGGUAACGGCCCACCAAACCUUCGAUGGAUAGGGGUUCUGAGAGGAAGGUCCCCCACAUUGGAACUGAGACACGGUCCAA